AGAAAUUUAGGUUAAACAGACCAUUAGCCUUCAAAGCUUCUAGCAGGAGUGAAAAGCCCCUAAUUUCUG
rnacentral:tRNA from 1 species